rnacentral:rRNA from 1 species
UGAGGAAUAUUGGUCAAUGGGGCGAGAGCCUGAACCAGCCAAGUCGCGUGAGGGAGGAAGGUCCUACGGAUUGUAAACCUCUUUUGCCGGGGAGCAAAGGGGCCAUUGAUGGCAGGAUGAGCGUACCCGGAGAAAAAGCAUCGGCUAACUCCGUGCCAGCAGCCGCGGUAAUACGGAGGAUGCGAGCGUUAUCCGGAUUUAUUGGGUUUAAAGGGUGCGCAGGCGGCGCGCCAAGUCAGCGGUCAAAGUUCCGGGCUCAACCCCGGUGUCGCCGUUGAAACUGGCGUGCUCGAGUGCGUGCGAGGAAGGCGGAAUGCGUUGUGUAGCGGUGAAAUGCAUAGAUAUGACGCAGAACUCCGAUUGCGAAGGCAGCUUUCCAGCGCGCU